CAGCAGCCACGGUAAUACAGAGGGUGCAAGCGUUAAUCGGAAUUACUGGGCGUAAAGCGUGCGUAGACGGUUACAUAAGUCGGGUGUGAAAGCCCCGGGCUCAACCUUGGAAUUGCAUUCGAGACUGCGUAGCUAGGGUACGGAAGAGGGAGGCGGAAUUUCAGGUGUAGCGGUGAAAUGCGUAGAUAUCUGAAGGAACACCAGUGGCGAAAGCGGCCUCCUGGUCCAGUACCGACGUUCAGGCACGAAAGCGUGGGGAGCAAACAGGAUUAGAUACCCCGGUAGUCCCUGUCUCUUAUAC
rnacentral:rRNA from 1 species